rnacentral:rRNA from 1 species
GAGUUUGAUCAUGGCUCAGGAUGAACGCUAGCGGCAGGCUUAACACAUGCAAGUCGAGGGGUAGUAUAGCAAUAUAUGAGACCGGCGCACGGGUGCGUAACGCGUAUGCAAUCUACCUUUCACAGAGGGAUAGCCCAGAGAAAUUUGGAUUAAUACCUCAUAGUAUAAUGACUCGGCAUCGAGAUAUUAUUAAAGUCACAACGGUGAAAGAUGAGCAUGCGUCCCAUUAGCUAGUUGGUAAGGUAACGGCUUACCAAGGCUACGAUGGGUAGGGGUCCUGAGAGGGAGAUCCCCCACACUGGUACUGAGACACAGACCAGACUCCUACGGG